rnacentral:rRNA from 1 species
AGUCUGGCCUGCCCACUGAUAAAAUUUAAAGGGCCGCGGUAUUUUGACCGUGCAAAGGUAGCAUAGUCAUUAGGUUUUUAAUUGAGAUCUUGUAUGAAUGGUUUUACAAAGGAAUAUCUGUCUUUAUAUUUAAUUUUGAAUUUAACUUUUAAGUGAAAAGGCUUAAAUGAAUUAAGAAGACGAUAAGACCCUAUAAAGCUUAAUGUAUUGUUUUUAUUAGGUUGAAUUAAAAUAAAUUAUAAUAAUUUGGUAAAAGGUUACAUUGUGUUGGGGCGACAUAAAUAAAAUGAGUUGUAACUGUUUAAAUUUGGAGACAUUUGUGGAUGAUUGAAUUUAUAAUUGAUCCUAGCUGUAGAUUAGAAAAUUAAGUUACUUUAGGGAUAACAGCGUUAUUUUUUUUGAGAGUUCUUAUCGAAAAAAAAGAUUGCGACCUCGAUGUUGAAUUAAAAUAUCUAUAUGAUUGCAGAAGUUGUUGAGAGAGGGUCUGUUCGACCUUUAAAAUUUUACAUGAUUUGAGUUCAAACCGGUGUGAGCCAGGUUGGUUUCUAUCUUUUAAUUGGAGUAGAAUUAUUUUAGUACGAAAGGAUUAAAUAAUUAAAAUUAUUUUGGGUAUUUGG